AUCCCUGGUAGAAAAAUUAUCUACCCACCACCUCAGGUACCAGUAGAGAGGAACACGAGACGACGGGCAUCACUCCUCAGCCGUCCUGGGGAUAACUCACUGGCCCGUUUUCCGGUCAGCUUUUUUAGGAGUUUGAGCCCUCGCCACCCUGAGCCCUGAUCUAAGUGUUUGGUAACCAGGCUUAUUGAAUUGUCUCCCUCCAGGGAUUUUAUGGAUCCAACAAUGGACAACACCAAGCAUAUAUUAAACUAUCUGAUGCCCAUCAUUGACCAGGUGAAUCCAGAGCUCCAUGACUUCAUGCAGAGGUACAUAUGUGUCUGCAUUUCUGUGUGCAUGCAUACACACGCCCACACCCCCCCACACCUGAAACACUCCUCACAAGCCGAGCGCAGUUUCCUCAUUGUCUUGGGUGGAUUUGUUAAGUUCUCCCCAGUUGUUCCAGUCACCAGCAAUCUGGGUAAUUCAGUUCUUGGAGCAUUUUUGGGGACUGUGCUCUUUGGGGGACAUAGCCCAUCCCUUGAGUUUACAUCUAGUGGGGAGAGGUGGAUAAGGUAUGUAUGCCAAGGUAAGAUGUUGAGGUUAUUGCCACAAGAGAAACACAAAGUCCUGUGGGAUCCAGCGGCGAGAAGGGGAAGGCCAACAAUGGGUUGUUUUAUUUCCCAAGUACCAAAGAGAAGACAUAUUUUUUUUGCAAAUCCCAUGUGAUGUUUUGUUUCUUCUCUGUUUAGUUGGAAAUGUGUUCUCGGCCAAUGCCUCUUUUUUUUAAAUUUUUUAAAAGGUAAUGGCUAUGCCUUCUUUUUUUUUGAGAUGGAGUAUUUUCUCUUGUUGCCCAGGCUGGAGUGCAAUGGCAUGAUCUUGGCUCACUGCAACCUCUAUCUUCCGGGUUCAAGCGAUUCUUCUGCCUCAGCCUCAAGUAGCUGGGAUUACAGGCAUGCGCCACCACGCUCGGCUAAUUUUGUAUUUUUAGUAGAGACAGGGUUUCUCCAUGUUGGUCAGGCUGGUCUCGAGCUCCCGAUGUCAGGUGAUCCGCCCGCUUUGGCCUCCCAAAGUGCUGAGAUUAUAGGCGUGACUCACCGUGUCUGGCAGCUACAUCUUAAGAUAUUUCAGUUGUCUCAUGUUAAUUGAAAAAUUAAUGCAGUCAUGUUUUCAGGCAUGGGAAUAUGUACCUGUGCCCCCCAGAAGGGUAAGACUUAGUCAGAAGGAGAAUCAUGGCGUAGUUCUCUGAAAACAACUGCUUCUCGUUCCUGUAGUUGACAUUUGUUGGCCAUUAGGCGAGCACCCAGUGAGAUAAAGCAGCCAGGACCCUGUUGUGGUGUUAGUGUUGUGGUACACCUUAAAGACUUUGUAUUAAAUAUUUUGUAAGGAGAAGAUGCUGAAUUCCUAGGUAACUGAAUUUUCCAGAAAUCUUAUUCCUAAAUGCUUCCUUCUCACCAGCACUAUAAGGCCCAGAGAGAGGGAAGGGAUGGCCCACAGGACCUGACACCUGCCUUUCCUUUGUUUCUAGUGCUGAGGUAGGGACCAUCUUUGCCCUCAGCUGGCUCAUCACCUGGUUUGGGCAUGUCCUGUCUGACUUCAGGCACGUCGUGCGGUUAUAUGACUUCUUCCUGGCCUGCCACCCACUGAUGCCGAUUUACUUUGCAGCCGUGAUUGUGUUGUAUCGCGAGCAGGAAGUCCUGGACUGUGACUGUGACAUGGCCUCGGUCCACCACCUGUUGUCCCAGAUCCCUCAGGACUUGCCCUAUGAGACACUGAUCAGCAGAGCAGGAGACCUUUUUGUUCAGUUUCCCCCAUCCGAACUUGCUCGGGAGGCCACCGCCCAACAGCAAGCUGAGAGGACGGCAGCCUCUACUUUCAAAGACUUUGAGCUGGCAUCAGCCCAGCAGAGGCCUGAUAUGGUGCUGCGGCAGCGGUUUCGGGGACUUCUGCGGCCUGAAGAUCGAACAGAAGAUGUCCUGACCAAGCCAAGGACCAACCGCUUUGUGAAAUUGGCAGUGAUGGGGCUGACAGUGGCACUUGGAGCGGCUGCACUGGCUGUGGUGAAAAGUGCCCUGGAAUGGGCCCCUAAGUUUCAGCUGCAGCUGUUUCCCUGAAAGCCAGAGAAGACCUUCCUCUUACAUCACAUUAAGGUCUCACCCUUCCAUGGAAGGAUUGGGAGGGGUGGAAUUUCCUUUAUUAAAAGGGUUUCUGUCCAGAGUUUUUUAUUCCUGCCACCCUGCCCUGCCCGUUUGUGUUUGCCUUUACUUCAGAGGCCAAUAGCAGAGCCUACCUGACACAGAGGGGACUUGGGGGCCUGGCACAGAAUCUUAUGCCUCUCCCAGUGGGCUUUUGGAUGGGCUCUCUGCCACCUCCCCGGUGUUGGAGGAAGUGGGUUUCUGAAGCUUGCAGCUGCCUUUGCAACCUGCUGGGCCUGGGCUGCCCUAGUUACCGGGAACCUCCUAGUCACCCCGUAGAAAGUGAACUGGAACAUGGGAUGCCCUCUUACUGCUCCUGCUUGCCUGCAUCAGAUGGACACAGAAGGAGGGGGCUGCUGCUGAAGGAGUCAGGCUUGGGAUGGAGAGCAAGAGGCCAAAGGACUCGUCUGGGAGCAUGAUCGGCCCCUCUUACUAGCAGCUCCAUCAGCUGAUCAGAAAUCAGAGACAGAAGGGAACUAGGUUACUCGUUAAAUCCUACCUAUUUUCAGCCUAGAAAUCACUUGGGCAUUUCCAGUCAAGUGGGAAGGAAAGCUCGUUUUUAGGGCCUAGACCUAGACUAGUUUUGCCUGCCUUUUUUUUCCUCCCUGUUUUCUUCUACAAGCCACACAACAUUGCUUAUAAAAGGUACUUUUAUUACUAUUUUUAGAAUAUAUACACCCCAUAUGUAAAUUACCCUCACUUUUAAAGUAAUAAUAGUUCCUUCACGGAAAAAAAAAUAGUUCUCAUCAGAAGGAUGAGCUUCUAAGAUCCUGAAUUUUACUUUCUACUUGAUUAACAUUUUCGCUUUAGCCAGAGUUGCUAUUUGCAAACAGCUUUCCACUUCCAAAGUGCCACUUUCUGACCGGUUUUUCUUCCUGUUUUCCUCAAAUCAUCCUACUCCCAAAUAGGCACCCACUCACUACCUUGGCGUCAUUUUUUGGGUCUGACUUGUCUCGUCAACUGCUGGUCUCUCCCACCUGGUUGGAAAUGUCAUUGGAACUUGCAAAGACUCUCCAGACCUUAGGGAACAAGAGGCAUCACUCAGUCCUUCUGGGACAGCUUCCCUGUAAGCAAAGCCAGGUUUGUUUUAGAUUCACUCUGGCCUGAGAAAAAAAAAGUGCCUUUUGCUGCUUUAAAGAAUUAGGGUAUAUGGUAUGAAGCAGCCAUGUACUUGUAUUUUCCUGGUCUUUCCUGGGCACUCUUCUCUCUUGGCAGAUGUUUUCUUAAAGUGAACACACCAGAAGCACUCCACCCCACCAUAUCCAGUCCUCUUUGCAUGCCUGUUGUGUGCAGGGUGGAGGGUGUCCCACAUGCCAGGCAGCUGGGAGCCCUGUCCGCCGAGUUACACUAAGCACUUUAUUUUUAUUUAUUUUAUUAUUAUUUUCUUUUUUCUGAGAUGGAGUCUCACUCUGUUGCCCAGGCUGGAGUGCAGUGGUGCAGUCUCAGCUCACUGCAACCUCCUCCUCCCAAGUUCAGGCAAUUCUCGCUGCCUCAGCCUCCCGAGUAGCUGGGACUACAGGCACCUGCUACCAUGUCUGGCUAAUUUUUGUAUUUUUAGUAGAGAUGGGGUUUCGCCACGUUGGCCAGGCUGGUCUCGAACUCCUGACCUCAGGUGAUCUGCCCGUCUCGUCCUCCCAAAGUGCUGGGAUUACAGGCGUGAGCCACCAUGCCCAGCCACCACUACGCACUUUAAAACCAAAAAAAGCUCAAAGGGAUGGAUCAUUGUCCAUGGCUCAGGAGCCCCACCGUGGGGUAAGUGUGAUGUCGAUGGAUUAAUUUAGACAGUGGUGUAUUCAUCAGGGCAAAGGCAAUUCUUCCAGAGGUGAUGAUGUGGCAGAUAUUCCCAGUGCUCUCCCAAAGCAAGCUGGCCCUCUUGUCAUCCUCUCAGUGGGCGGCACCAGCUGCCCCUCCUUCCACAAGUACUCAAGCCUGUUUGUAAAUACUGAAGGGAUUGAUGGGGUUGAGGAAAGGAGGUGCACGUCACCAGGGUCCCAAGGCCACAGCUUUUCAGAUCGUAGGAAGCAAGUGGCAUUUGCUUGACUUGUGGCCUCGGAAGGAGAAUGUUUAUCUGUUUUCUAACUUUGCUGACACCAGGAUUCUCCCUGUCAUUGAGAAGAAAGCAUUAUCUAAUUACCUUCAGGUGGUUUACUUAUUCUGUAAAGAAUAUGUGUAAAUAUUUUGUACAGAGCCCUGUAUCAAAUAAACAGCCAUAUGUGGUUACUAAUCACCUCUUCUGUCAUUCCGUCCUUGGCCACCGCUCAGUGGGAAUGGUCUCUGAUCUGGAUGCUCCCACCUUCCAUGUCAGGCCCAGAACUGUGCCAUGGUCUGUGGAGUCCUGGUCAGCCUUGACUGGCUAGGAGACCUAGGGCAGUACCUCCAGUCUUGCUGUUUCUGUUUCAUCUGCAAGAAUUAUGACCCACACACUCCAGCUGCAGCCCAGGGCACUGUGAUAUUUUAUACGUGUGUAGAUGUUUUUGUCCACAGUUCCUGGUUCAUCACUCCCAUAACCCUUUGUUAUAAUGUUGGGACACUGCAGGCCUCAGAAAACGGAAUCUCUGUCUGUGACCUUCUCCUGCCCCAUUUCACUUGCUCAACACCAGACUUUAAUCUGACUGUAGCUCAUAAGACCCUCAUUCCAGAGAGGGUGCUGCCCCAUACCCGGAAGGAGGAACGCUGCAGAGAGAGGCCAAGAAGCAUCUGGACAGACAGGCCUUGCUGGGUUUAGACCUUACGCUUUUUGUCCAGUUUCAUCUCAACACAGUUGCCAUGCUUCAGCCAUGCCUAUCCAAUGACGUCUCCAUAAAAGGCCCAGGAGCACGGGAGCUUCCGAAGAGCUGAACAUGUGGAGGGAGAGGAACGAGAACUUGUCCACGUGCCAAGAGGGUGGCGCACCCGCACUCCAUGGGGCCAGAAGCUCCAGCAUUUGCCCAGGACCCGUCCAGACCUCACCCUGUGUGUAUCUUCAUCUGGCUGUUUACUUAUUUGUAUCCUUUUCUAAUAACGUUUGUAAUAAACUGGUAAACGUAA
rnacentral:sRNA from 1 species